GACGAACGCUGGCGGCGCGUCUAAGACAUGCAAGUCGAACGGGGGUAGCAAUACCCUAGUGGCGAACGGGUGAGUAACACGUAGCUACCUGCCUUCCGGUGGGGGACAACAGUUCGAAAGGACUGCUAAUACCGCAUACGAUCUGCGGAUGAAAGCCUUCGGGCGCCGGAAGAGGGGGCUGCGGCCUAUUAGCUUGUUGGUGAGGUAACGGCUCACCAAGGCGAUGAUGGGUAGCUGAUCUGAGAGGAUGAUCAGCCACACUGGGACUGAGAUACGGCCCAGACUCCUACGGGAGGCAGCAGUUAAGAAUCUUGCGCAAUGGGCGAAAGCCUGACGCAGCGACGCCGCGUGGAGGAUGACGGCCUUCGGGUUGUAAACUCCUUUUCGGAGGGAAGAUAAUGACGGUACCUCCGGAAUAAGCCCCGGCUAAUUACGUGCCAGCAGCCGCGGUAAUACGUAAGGGGCAAGCGUUGUCCGGAAUCACUGGGCGUAAAGCGCGCGUAGGCGGUUUGGUAAGUCGGGUGUGAAAUCCCCGGGCUCAACCCGGGAACUGCGCUCGAAACUGCCUCACUGGAGGAACGGAGAGGUGCACGGAAUUCCCGGUGUAGGGGUGAAAUCCAUAGAGAUCGGGAGGAACACCAAUGGCGAAGGCAGUGCACUGGACGUUUCCUGACGCUGAGGUGCGAAAGCGUGGGUAGCGAACGGGAUUAGAUACCCUGGUAGUCCACGCUGUAAACGAUGAGUGCUAGGCGUCGGCACGCUUGCGUGUCGGUGCCGCAGCUAACGCGUGAAGCACUCCGCCUGGGGAGUACGGUCGCAAGAUUAAAACUCAAAGGAAUUGACGGGGGCCCGCACAAGCGGUGGAGCAUGUGGUUUAAUUCGACGCAACGCGCAGAACCUUACCAGCCCUUGACAUGCCGUGCUACACGCAGAGAUGCGUGGUUCCAGCAAUGGACGCGGACACAGGUGCUGCAUGGCUGUCGUCAGCUCGUGUCGUGAGAUGUUGGGUUAAGUCCCGCAACGAGCGCAACCCUUGCCUUUAGUUGCCAUCAUUUAGUUGGGCACUCUAGAGGGACUGCCGGCGGUAAGCCGGAGGAAGGUGGGGAUGACGUCAAGUCCUCAUGGCCCUUACGGGCUGGGCUACACACGUGCUACAAUGGUGGCGACAGAGGGCGCAAGCGAGAGCGCAAGCUUUAGCAAAUCCUCAAAAGCCAUCUCAGUUCAGAUUGCGCUCUGCAACUCGGGCGCAUGAAGGUGGAAUCGCUAGUAAUCGCAGAACAGCAGGCUGCGGUGAAUACGUUCCCGGGCCUUGUACACACCGCCCGUCACACCAUGGGAGUUGGUUUGACCUGAAGACGGUGCGCUAACCCGCAAGGGAGGCAGCCGGCCACGGUCAGGUCAGCGACUGGGGUG
rnacentral:rRNA from 1 species